rnacentral:rRNA from 1 species
UACGAAGGGGGCUAGCGUUGUUCGGAUUUACUGGGCGUAGAGCGCACGUAGGCGGAUCGUUAAGUCGGGGGUGAAAUCCUGGAGCUCAACUCCAGAACUGCCUUCGAUACUGGCGAUCUUGAGUCCGGAAGAGGUGAGUGGAACUCCUAGUGUAGAGGUGGAAUUCGUAGAUAUUAGGAAGAACACCAGUGGCGAAGGCGGCUCACUGGUCCGGUACUGACGCUGAGGUGCGAAAGCGUGGGGAGCAAACAGG